GUCCCCGUAGCUCAGUAGGAUAGAGCGAGGGAUUCCUAAUCCCUAGGUCGCACGUUCGAUUCGUGUCGGGGACA
rnacentral:tRNA from 2 species